GGCUUAGUUAAUGUUGCAAAUAUCAGCCUCGGACCGAGAAUCCGCCUGUCGGUGGUUCAAUUCCACCCCUGGCCACCA
rnacentral:tRNA from 1 species